CUAUUAGUCUAGAUAAUCCUCUUAUCUCAGCACUAGUUGAGAGGUGGAGAAGAGAAACAAAUACAUUUCACUUUACUGUUGGUGAAAUGACGGUGACUCUUCAAGAUGUUGCAUUAUUGCUUGGAUUAGCUAUUGAUGGGAAGCCUGUUAUUGGGAUAACACAUACAACAUGUAGCUCUGUUUGUGAAAGGCUUCUAGGGAAAGCACCAGAUUCAAACUAUGCGAGUGGUGGGAUGGUGAAGCUAAGUUGGCUGAAGGAAUUCUUUUCUCAAUGUCCUGAAGAUGCUCCAAGUGAAGAGGUUGAGCGCUGCACGC
rnacentral:misc_RNA from 1 species